rnacentral:rRNA from 1 species
UUAGGAAUCUUCGGCAAUGGGCGAAAGCCUGACCGAGCGACGCCGCGUGAAGGAUGAAGGCCCUCGGGUCGUAAACUUCUAAAAGAGGGACGAUAGUGACGGUACCUCUUGAAAAGCACCGGCUAACUCCGUGCCAGCAGCCGCGGUAAUACGGAGGGUGCAAGCGUUAUCCGGAAUCACUGGGCGUAAAGGGCGCGUAGGCUGUCUGUUAAGUCCGAUGUUAAAGACUGGGGCUCAACCCCGGCAUGGCGUUGGAUACUGGCAGACUUGACGGUUGGAGAGGCGAGUGGAAUUACCAGUGUAGCGGUGAAAUGCGUAGAUACUGGUAGGAACACCCAUUGCGAAGGCAGCUCGCUGGACAACACGUGACGCUGAGGCGCGAAAGUGUGGGGAGCAAACCG